rnacentral:rRNA from 1 species
AGUGAACGCUGGCGGUAGGCCUAACACAUGCAAGUCGAACGGCAGCACAGUAAGAGCUUGCUCUUACGGGUGGCGAGUGGCGGACGGGUGAGGAAUACAUCGGAAUCUACUUUUUCGUGGGGGAUAACGUAGGGAAACUUACGCUAAUACCGCAUACGACCUACGGGUGAAAGCAGGGGAUCUUCGGACCUUGCGCGAUUGAAUGAGCCGAUUUCGGAUUAGCUAGUUGGCGGGGUAAAGGCCCACCAAGGCGACGAUCCGUAGCUUGUCUGAGAGGAUGAUCAGCCACACUGGAACUGAGACACGGUCCAGACUCCUACGGGAGGCAGCAGUGGGGAAUAUUGGACAAUGGGCGCAAGCCUGAUCCAGCCAUACCGCGUGGGUGAAGAAGGCCUUCGGGUUGUAAAGCCCUUUUGUUGGGAAAGAAAAGCAGCAGGUUAAUACCCCGCUGUUCUGACGGUACCCAAAGAAUAAGCACCGGCUAACUUCGUG